GGACCUCUACACUGGCCCGAGUCACUGUGCGGGGGAGGGGGGAGAAACACAGAACAGUCAGUGACGCGCACUGUCCCCCUCCCCCACACCCACCCGCUCUUUCCGCCCCCCACCCCAGCCACCCUAGCAGGGCACCCGAACCGCUCAGGCUGAACUUAGUUCCACACUCCUCGGGGGCAGCCCGGAAGCCGGCUCCCCGGCAGGCGCCCCCACGGAGCGAGGGAGCGACGCCUCCGAGGAGUACCUAGCAAGGCCGAGCUCCGCACCAUGGAGAAUCAAGGAAGACCAGGGGGCCUCCCUUCAAAAAGCAUAAGCAACCAAGCAAACUAUGAUACACGACAGAAUGGUGCCAAGGGAGAACUGCUGAGCACUGUUUCCCAAUUUCCUGUUACAGAAAAUAAAAUCCCACUGGUUCCAAGAGAGAACAUAUCCCAAUAAGAUUUAUCGUGGUCCUUCUAGAGGCUGGAAGAUGAUACUUAAAGGAUUUAUGGUUCUGGAGCCUUUGGGAUUCCCCAAACCCUGAGUGAGAAAGUUCACCUUCCAGGACUUUCCGUGCUCCUCUGGCAAGGACAACAUGGGCAAAGUGCUAAGAUUUUGGACUACGAGGUUUGGCGCUGCCAGUGCUCUCAGGACAGGAAGGGCACAGGUCUUGAACCCUGAAGAUGAAGAGAGAUGGAGCAGGUGCUAAUCACCAGGCCUCUUCCAGAGCGGCUGGAGGACUCUGCCUUUGUAUGUGGUGUUUCUUCAACUUGGAAUGCCCUGCCUCCCGUUCUCCAACUGGCAAGCCUAGUAUUUUCUCAGGACUCUGCAAAGCCUUCCCUAACCGCCCCCGCAACACAAGGCGGAUGUGGUACCCUCACUUGUGCCUCCGCAACAGUGCGCAGGUUUAUCAGAGCUCUCCCCAUGCAUGGUAGUCAGCUGUUCCUGGUCUGCCCCUCCCAUUAGACUGUGAACUCUUAGAGGGAGGGGCUGUGGACCAUGGCUUAUUCAUCUUUGUGUAUUCUCAGCACCUACCUCUGUAAAUGUUAAAAAUAAUAGGUAUCAUUUACUGAUCAUCACCAUAUUUUAAUUUCUAUACAUAAUAUCUAACAUAGAUACAUUAUUUCACUUCCUCAUUGUCCAACUGAAAUGUAUAAAGUGGGUUAUUUGAAGUGGGUUAUUAAAAAUAACCACUUCCAAAAGUGGUGACAUAAACUCAUCUUUCACACAUACACAUAAAUAUGCCUCCUUGAAUCACUUGAACCCAAGAGGCGGAGGUUGCAG
rnacentral:lncRNA from 1 species